UGAGAAGAGACUGUUGAGUUCCUAGCCUCGUAAGAUCGCUCUGUCAUCCCCUUUCAAGGCUGAAGGACUAUCACGGAAAAGAGGGUGGAAAGAACAUAAGAGCUAGAGGAAGAAGCUGUAUUCUGAGUAUGCUGUGUCCACAUCAUCGAGUGGGGAGUGACUGGCUCCCACAGCACAGAAGGAAAGAAUGGAAAGUUCUGGGGCCAUCAGGAUCUCCCUUCUCUUCCAGAUCAGUUACCAGUUACCCUCAGGCAACAUACUUGUGCUAAAGGAAAGCCAUGAAGAAAAGCAGCCUUCCUUAGAGAAGAAUCAGUGUUCUCUGAUGUGAUUGGGAACUGCUCCUUAAUGGACGUGCCUACCCCACUGCAUAUGCUGUGACUCACCUCUCCCUGAGGAUUGUUCCCUACUGGGCAUGUUCCCAUCCAGCCCUCCAGGCUGGCUUUGCAUUGGUUUUCCCCACAGGUGUUCUCUUGCACUGUUAACUGCUGGCUGUUCCCCUAUAUCCAUAUCAUGAGAGAUUACACAUUUUACAGGGACUAUAUCUUUCACUCUACCAGUAGUACAACAUGCAGUAAGGAUUUGUUGUGGAGUGUGAAUGCAUUAUCUUCCUAAGCAAGAUCUUAUGUGCACUCCCUCUUCCUAAGCAAGGAUCUUAUGUGCACUCCCUCUUUUGCUGUGACUUCAUCACAAGAGUGGCUGGCAUUGCACGUACCUCAUUCCCACACGUGUGUUCACAAUUACUAUUAUUCCCCUUGGGUCUCCCCCAGAAAGUCUCUGACAGACACUGUGUUGAUUACAGGUUCUUAUAACUAA
rnacentral:lncRNA from 1 species